rnacentral:rRNA from 1 species
AAAAUUUUUUGGUUUUUUUUUCCCGAUAAAAAUAAGAUCUAUUUAUUUAAUAAUUUUAGUUUCGCAUGGUAAAGUUAUUGUAGCAUAAAUAAGCAUAUUAAGUGUAAAUAGCUGGUGAAAAGCCUCCAAUUUUUUUGAUAGCUGGAUAAGAUUUAAAUAUAUUUAGUAUAUAGAUCAACCAUAGAGUGAUAAGGUUUUAUGGAGUUAAUAAAUUCUUUUUUUUACUUGCUGAGAUUAAAAAUCUUACACUAACCAUUAACAAAUAAUAAUUUUUUAUUUUCUUUUAACGUUUUAAGUCUUUAAUGUAGUAAAAUUUUUUACAUAUUUUUUACUGUUUAAAUUAGUAUUAUUAUAAAAUAGCUUUAAGGAACUCGGCAAAAACUUUUUUCAACUGUUUAACAAAAACAUAGCUUUAUGAAAUCAUUUAAAGUGAAUUCUGCCCAGUGAAUAUUUUUUAACGGCCGCAGUACCUUGACUGUGCUAAGGUAGCAUAAUAAAUUGGCUUUUAAUUGAAGUCGGGAAUGAAUGGAAAAUUGAAGAGAAACUGUCUUAGAGUUAAGUAUAUAAAUUUAUUUAGUAGGUGAAAAUACUUACACGGAAAAAUCAGACGAGAAGACCCUAAGAAUUAUUUAAAAAUACCAAAGUUUUCUUUGUUUUUUUUUGUUGGGGCAACAAAGUUGGAAGGUAAACCAAUUAAUUUAUAUAGUGUUAAGCUUACUUUAGUAAAAAUAAAAUUAAUUACCUUAGGGAUAACAGCAUAAUUUUUUUAAUAGAUUGUGACCUCGAUGUUGGAUUAAGGACUUUAUAGAUUAGCCAUUUAUAAAGCUGGUUCUGUUCGAACUUUUUAUCCUUA